rnacentral:lncRNA from 1 species
CUCAUAAGUCGUUUUUAUGGCUGGAUAUUGAUUGUUUUAUGUGUAUAUAUUUAUAUAAUGUUGCUUAUAUUUAUGUCAAUCAAUAUGUGACACUUUAAUAAACUAUUUACUUUACUUACUUACUAUGUUAGUUAUACGUCCUUGAUUGCACACAGCUGACGAUCAACAGAGUGUGGUACGUGUCGUUAAAACAUCUACAUGGUAAUUACUAAAGAUGUGA